GACGAACGCUGGCGGCGUGCCUAAUACAUGCAAGUCGAGCGGACUUGACUGUUUGCUUGCACUCCUGAGAGUUAGCGGCGGACGUGAGAGUAACACGUCGUCCACCUGCCCUCAAGACUGGUUUAACUACCUGAAACGGUAACUAAUACCGGAUAAUUUCUUACAUAUCAUUAUUUGAUAAUUAAAGACGGAGCAAUCUGUCACUUGGCGUUGCGCCUGCGGCGCAUUAGCUAGUUGGUGGGGUAACGGCCCACCAAGGCGACGAGGCGUAGCCGACCUGAGAGGGGGAACGGGCAUGAGAGGACUGAGAGCCGGCCCAGAACUGUAAGGGAGGCAGCAGUAGGGAAUCUUGCGGAAGGGGCGAAAGCCUGACGAAGCAACGAAGCGUGAGUGAUGAAGGUCUUCGGAUCGUAAAGCGCUGUUGGCAAGGAAGAACGUCUCAUAGAGUAACUGGUAUGGGAGGGACGGUACUUGAGAAGAAAGACCCGGCUAAUUACGGG
rnacentral:rRNA from 1 species